CACCAAUGGGCCUAAGCUACUCACAUUUCUAAUUUGUUAGUCGUUUACAUUUAGGGUGGAGUCGUUUAUAGUAAUUUCAGAGGUGAGCUUGUUUAAAUGCAGUGUACAAAAUUGAGUUUUAAGGCGAGCAAAUGUUAUAACAUGCCAAUGUUAGCAAACCUUUUGUCCUGAGAGCAACAGACGUUGGAGGAGCACUACACAACCAGAGAUCUAGGAGGCGGCAGCAGAUGUGACAUCGGGACGUCAGUGUGACACCGCUGCAAGUCACUACACUACACUCUAGCUACAUCGACAGGCGGCCAGCGCUCCUCGCUCCUCGCUCCUCGCGCCGCCACCCCUCCACUGCCCUCAGCUCCCGCGCUGUCUGCUCAUGGAAGGCUGGUCAGAAGGGAAAAGAGCCAGUCGCCUCCCUGGAGGCCCCUACUGCACUGCACUGCAAUGCACUUGCCAGAAACG
rnacentral:lncRNA from 1 species